rnacentral:lncRNA from 1 species
AUCUAACAAGUCAUAAGAUUGAAUCCAUUUGACAUCCUCUCCCAAUCUUUGUAUGUUUUGUUUCCUUAAGUGUAGUAUGGCAAAAGAGGGAUUAAAAACCCAGCGUGCUUCUCAUUCUUUUGCAUCUUUAUUUUGAUUCUGGGAAAACCUUUCCUUGCUUAACUGUCCACUAAAAAAUAUAAGGAAAAUUUCAAGCAAACAAACAAACUUGUUAUAGCCAUCUUUUAAAGUAUUCUUAGUAGACGAGCAUCUGCUAGAAUCCUCUCAAUCGUCUGUAAAUACAACAAUUUAUAGCAGUAUCAGAGUUUUUUUUUUAUAGCAUAAAAUAUUAGAAAACAGAAUUCGUAGAUCAUCACAAAGAAUUCUUAGAGUAUUAUUAUGAUAUUCCGAAACAACUAAACAACAAAACAAAACAAAACAAAAAA